rnacentral:lncRNA from 1 species
CCAGGUGCCCCCAGGUGCGCCCAGGUGCCCCCAGGUGCGCCCAGGUGCGUCAGUCGCCGCCGUUGGCGCGGAUGGUGCGGCGGAUCCAGGCGGUGAAGGCGCACACCCGGCUGUACACACCUGGCUUGCCCUGCUGGCCGCACACCUGCAGCCCCCAGGAGACCACGCCCUGCAGGUACCCGUCACACACCAGCGGGCCCCCGGAGUCACCCUGCGGCGGGGGACAGGGGGACAGGUGAGAAAUGGGACAGGUGGGACAGGUGGGACAGGUGAGACAGGUGAGAUUGGUGGGACAGGUGGGACACAGGUGGGACAGGUGAGACAGGUGGGACACAGGUGGGACAGGUGGGACACAGGUGGGACAGGUGGGACAGGUGAGACACAGGUGGGACAGGUGAGACACAGGUGAGAGAUAAGUGAGAAAGAUGGAACAGGUGAAAUAGGUG